GACGAACGCUGGCGGCGUGCUUAACACAUGCAAGUCGAGCGGAAAGGCCACUUCGGUGGUACUCGAGCGGCGAACGGGUGAGUAACACGUGAGUAAUCUGCCCUUGGCUUUGGGAUAGCCACCGGAAACGGUGAUUAAUACCGGAUACGACCACUUCUCGCAUGGGAUGGUGGUGGAAAGUUUUUUCGGCCAGGGAUGUGCUCGCGGCCUAUCAGCUUGAUGGUGAGGUAAUGGCUCGCUAUGGCUUCGACGGGUAGCCGGCCUGAGAGGGUGACCGGUCACACUGGGACUGGGACACGGCCCAGACUCCUACGGGAGGCAGCAGUGGGGAAUAUUGGACAAUGGGCGGAAGCCUGAUCCAGCAACGCCGCGUGAGGGAUGACGGCCUUCGGGUUGUAAACCUCUUUCAGCAGGGACGAAGCGCAAGUGACGGUACCUGCAGAAGAAGCACCGGCCAACUACGUGCCAGCAGCCGCCGUAAUAC
rnacentral:rRNA from 1 species